AAUUUUUACUCAUACCGUUUGUCAUGACCGUUGCUGUCGCUGAUCGCGCUCUUAAUGCUCGUAUUUCGCGUAAUCUUAUCGAAAUGUGCUCGAUGUUGAAUGUCGUUACUGAACCUGACUACUAAAAAUACAAACAAAUAAAUCGCUCAUAUUAUCUCGUGCAAACGGCCGUUUUAUAUUCGCUAUGAAAACUUACGACGAAACCUGUGGUUUGGCCCUUUUUGUUUCAACGGUGCUUUGUGAACGAAUUCGACGUAGGGCUACCUUCGCCAUGUGCGUCAGAUAGUGCUGUGCUUCUAUUAGUUUUUAGACAAACUAAUAUGUUAGUAAUAAAUGGAUCUUGCUAUGUGUAGUGAGCGCAGAGCGCGCAGUUUUAGUGAUUCAUAAAGUGAGUAGUGUCAGUAUGAAGGUGACGGUGUGUUUUGGUUCCGUGCGGGUUUUGGUACCUUGUGGCGCUGGCGACCUCUUAGUCAGGGACCUCGUACGGGAAGCUACGCUCCGAUACAAAAAGGCUACUGGACAGGGACCAGAGACAUGGGUUGGAGUAAGAGCGCUUCGCGCCAGCUCUGGAGGGAUCCUAGACCCAGAUGAUAAGGUCCGCGAUGUAGCUGAUGAUCGCGAAACCCUCACAGCCGAGUGCACCAACCAAAGUCAUCCCCGCGCAGCCCAAGCAGAUGGCGCCAGUGGCUCGUCUGCCGGUACCGCCUCACCUGACAUGUUUAGGGGCGGAGGCGGUGUUGGUGGCAGUAUGAGGGUUCCAAAUACAGACUCGUGCGUAGAGGUCGGCGCCGCAGACCUCGACAGUGCCAACGGUCUUCAGGUCCGACGAGGCAGCGAACCAACCCUGCAUCAAGAUACCUUACCUCCUCAAACACAGGUAUCAGAUCAAACCAAGAGAUGGUCGGCGGCGGUUGUGUGUCGGGAAGACACCAGUCGAGGUCAAAGUAAGAUACCUCCAGAGGUCAGCCCAGACAAACACGGACACUUCCAGAGACAGACGAAUCGCUUGUCAAUGCAGUUCUCUGGACCAGGAAGUGGGGUGUGGUUGGAUGCAGCAGAACGGGUCCAGAUAUACGGCAGUAAGAGUCUACCUCGAGAUGCGAGAAAGGAACCCUUAGGCCAAGACACGCCAGUUAACGAUCAAAGCCACAGAGUAGAAGACAUGCUGAGAUGGGUCUCCGGUGUGAACAAUGUGGCCAGCGUACAUCCUGUACAAGAAAGGACAUUGGAUUUAUUACCUGAAGGUAACAGUGAACGAGCGAUUACUGGUAUGGAAGUUCCAGUGAGCCCGAGCAAACCGGCCGCCACUCACACCGUGUCCGUGACUCUGGUCAAGGGCGAGAAAGGCCUGGGAUUCACUAUCACCACCAGAGACAACCCCACCGGUGGACACUGCCCCAUAUAUAUAAAGAACAUAUUACCUAAGGGAGCGGCUGUAUCAGACGGUCGUCUUCGUGCUGGUGAUCGUCUGGUGUCUGUGUGCGGUGUGCCGGCGGCCGGGCGGACUCAGCAGCAACUGGUCACACUCCUCAGGAACACUCCCACAGACGCCGCGGUUGAGAUCGUUGUCGAACGUGCGCUGACACAACGGACUCAGAGGGUAGAACCGCAACAGAGUCCUACAAAGUACACUGAAAAGCCGAUCGGCGCUACACCCAUACAAAAGCCUAUAGAAGCUAACAAGUCAGACGGCGGUCGAGUGUCAAGUAUAGUGAAUGCGAUCAAUAAUAACAACGGGUCCACCAGGGGUCGGAUACCGAAAAGCUCCUCCAAAGAUGACCUUCUGAAGGAGCAUCCUGUAGACACAGCUCUACAGGAUGUUCUCAACAGUUCUUCAAAUUCUCUUUUAGGUCUCCGCAAUCGUCUGAUUCUAAGGUUGGAUGUACCAGUUCACGACUCUGAGAAGGCUGGUUUAGGUAUCAGCGUGAAGGGUAAGGUCACUGUGGGUCCUGACCCCCAUGACCUUGGUAUUUUCAUUAAAUCUGUUCUAAACGGCGGUGCUGCGUCCAGGGACGGAAGGUUGCAUACCAACGACCAGUUGUUGAGUGUGAACGGUGUGUCGCUGGUGGGUCAGUCUAAUGCGGAGGCCAUGGAGACCUUAAGACGAGCGCUGUUACACGCACGGCCACAUGUCAGAGGAAGCAUCUCACUCACCAUCGCCAGGAGAACCGAUAGUAUGGACAGUCUUGCUAGAUGGAAGGACGACACGCCUCCCAACGGCAACGAUUCCACCAACUCCAACGACAACAGCAACUCACAGAACUACAACACGGUCAUAUACAACACAGCACACGACAAAGAGAACAAACCGAUCGACGAUCAGAACAAAUCCGAUUCAAAGGAGAGUCUGACCAGAGACGUGCGCGGCAGCAAGAAACACGCUUCAAUAGUCACCAUAAACAAUAACAGCUGGACGUCCAACCAAUCGGAUGACAGCAAGGGCUAUCUAGAGAGAGACAAAGAUACCAUACCCCAUGAUAGUAAGAGGGACAGCUUCGAGUGGAGUCGCCUCGACGGAUGGAACCCGGUCAUCGAUAGGUUAACCGGUUUGAGGAACGAGAGUUACUAUAUGGCGACUCAGGAACCCACCAUCAAUGGACAUCACUAUAGAAGCAAUAUGGGACAUGUGCACAUGACGCGAUCACCGCCCGCACACCAUAAUGUCAUUAUAGAGGAGGACUAUGGCACUAACAGAGGCAGUGCUGGUGAAUCUGGCAGUGAGAGUGGAGCGUUCAGUAGAGACGCGGUCGGGAGACGGUCUAUGUCGGAGAAAAGACACGCGGCCAUGGACGCUAAGACUACAGGGACCUAUAGGAAGAUCAAGGAAAAUAAAGCCAUACAUGCACUUCAAGUCGGUCCAUCCCUCGGCAUGCGGAAGUCGUCCAGCUUAGAAUCUCUCCAGACAGCGAUCCAGGAGACUCAAAGGAACCCCAGCAGAAAUGAACCGAUAUACUCACGGGCACAUCCUCCUCUAAAGCAUUGGUUGACGGACGACAACACAGCACCAGAGACCAUGUUCCGCGGUUCACCUCAACAGUCCUCGCUGUCUCUGAAGAAACCCUCGCUACUGAAAUCACUAUCCACGAUGUUCAGAAUGGGAAAACCUCCAAAAAAAGAAGUGGAUACAUACGUGCGGUCUCAAGCGGGACGAACCUCGGAGAAGUCACUCUCGACUAACAGUGACCGACAAGCGAGAGACGAAGACAGGGACGAUCGUUCGCGUCACAGUCGUCAGAGCAGCGGCGAGAGACGAUCCGCCGGCAGGACGGCGCCCUCACACGCGCACGAACCACCGCCAAUGAACGACGCGUGGGGUCCGACCGGACAUUAUGUGAACUACGAAGAAAUACAACAAACGCUGAACGCUCGUCGUGAAAAACUCAGCGAAGUGCAGCUGGGACAAGCCAGACGUUCAGCACACAGGGAUAGAGACAGUCGUAGAGGCGGAUACAAUUCUCAGCGGUCGUGCAAGGAGUCAGUGCGGCCUCAGUCAAACUGUUACGAAUACGAGAGCGUCCCUCCACGUCGACCUGGGAAACUAUCACAUUACCACUGACCACCACGACGGUUACCAUCAGUUCAUAGGAAUUAUACUGAUACCCCGACGUGGAGUGGGAGUAAAGUGAAAGGUUAGCAAAUAUGGCGGCUCUCAUGACUUGCAUCCACUGACCGUGUACCAUUUAUAUUCUUAGUCAUUCGACUAGUGCUUUAUGUUACAUCAAUGAAUCAAGUCUAGUUAUGAAGUGGAGCGUCCGAUGGCGAAAGUGUUACAGGUGUUUGAAAAAUGUUCAUUUCUGGGGCAUGCAUCUGACUGGGUCGCGUGCUAUGAACAUCCGACC